CUCACCUCCAUAAGGAAGGAUCCACACGUCAGGCAGAUGAUGGUUACAAUCCACUCCCUAGCACCGGUCACUCACAAGGACGACUAAUGGCCUGCAUCCUGAAAACUGCCAACCAAUCCAGUUGCGUCCAUUUGACCUCUGGAGCGUCAAUCAGCUCAGCACCACUAAAGAUGAGUCAUUCCCACUGACUUCUGGGAAAAUUCCGACUCCCACCUCCUCUGGUGCUCUGAAGCUCUCCCCUGGUUUUCCUCCUUGUUUAUUUUUGGAGCUCAUCAUUACUCCUCAGGCCAGUUCAAGGUCUUUCUUCAGCUUUCUCUGCCUCCUUAGCCAAGAAGGAGGACUUGGCCCGUCCAGGCUGCCUCAUCUCCAUGGCUCCAUGAAGGUGGGGUUUGGGGAUGACAGAGAACAGGAAGGUAGAAACCACUCCUCUUAGUACUCUGAUCAUGCCUGCGGCCAUAUGCUUCUUGGUGGAGCCCGGAGUUCUCAUUACUUUGAGUUCAACACCUCCCCACUGCCACUGCCAUUGCUUCUAUCCUCGACCUCAGGGUGACAAGUUAGUGAAUAUCAGAACUGACAAGGUCAUAGAAAUAAUCUCCUUUCCAUUUCCAGGUGCAAGAGGGACUUCUUACUACACUGAGUCCAGCUGCAUGUCUGGAUUUCCACUAAAACCACUUGUUCACGGGCAACUGUACUCGAGAGAGGAAACACACAGAAGCUGUUGAGAGGAGAAGGGCCAUAUCACAGCCUCACAAAUGCUUGGUAUUAGAUAUCCUUGGUCUUCAAAGUCCUGUGGCCCCGUGCUGUGUUCCUUGCUUACCUCUCUUCCUCCCCAAGGCCUGUGCCUCCUUCCCUGUGAAUCCAAGGAAGAUGCUUCACAUAGAUAAGCCACCAUGAUGCUUCCUCCCCUUCCUCCCUUGUUUUAACAAGAGCUCCCUUUCCUAGUUUGUCCACAUCUGUGUCUCUGCUGCAUCUUUUAACAGAAAUAGUUUUCCCAAAGUUCAGCUCUUCUGGUACUAGUACCCUGAUCAGCCACCUCUAGACCCUGCCCACUGCCAAUAUCAUGAUGCUCUUGUCCUCUGUGCAGUAGAUGCAGAGACCCUUCUAUUUCUGGUGCCCGAUGAAGACCAACAACCCCAAAUAGUCUGAGGACUCCCCUUUUCAGCUCCAGUGUCCCAUGGCUCCUAUGACACUCUACACAGAAACAAAGAGAUUGCCCUUGGUCAUCUGGAUGUAUUAUUUUUUAGUCCUGAGUCCAUGAAAACAACUAUUAACCUUUCUGACCUGAAUCUCCCCAUCUGUAAGACAUGGGCAGCUCUUUCACAGUGUUCUAUGAGGGCUAGAUGAUAUGGUGCAGUGUCUGGGGGACUGAGGUCUAUCCUGUCUCCCUCCCUGUCACAUCAUGAAAAGGGGGUGGUUGGGCCCUCAAAUCUGCUAGUUCCAUCAGGGAUAGAAGAGCUGAAUUUAUCACAUGGGUGCUGAAGUAGGGAGAAAUCAGGUGUACAAAGAGGUCAUUCAGUCACUUUGGAAAGACCUGGCAGAAAUCAGGAUUAGUCAGGAGAGAGAUAAGAGGUAAUGAUGGAGCAGGAAUGUCCCUGUGGACCCUCUUUAGGUACCAUGAAGCAGCUAAGAGGAGCAAGACCACAUGUCCAUCUAAAAAGAUGAAGACCUAAGUAGAUUCAGAGAAAAGUUUUGCAUGUGGCAGUUAUUGUGAAGGUUUAUUUGGGUAGAAACGCUUCCAUGAACCCACAGAAGAGGGGUGUUAAACACACUGGAGUGUCAAAAUGGGUCUCCUACAGAAGGCGGGACUGGAUUGGGAGGCUGUGGGGAUCAUUAGCAUUUUUUAUAUAUCAUUGAGUUUUCUAAUUAGAAACAUGAUCACAGGAAAACUUGAAAUUCAGAUCUUUGAUCAGGUAGUAGAAUUUGUAAUGUGUAAAUGAGUCAAGUAUGAAAAGGCUAUAAUCAUAGCUGUAGAAAGGCGCAUUUUCUUGAAUAAACUGAGAUUAAACUGUGCCACAUAAAAUAGCUAAGACUUUUGGUGCCCAUAGCUGGUUUGUCACUGGGGAGGUGAGUGAAACAGGAAUUUUGGUGCCCAUGGGUGGUCUGUCUCUGGGGAGGUGGGUGAACAGGGAGGCAGAUGCAUUUGAUGUUGAUGUCAGUUCACGCUGAUUAGGAGCUAAUAUGGCUUCUACCUUUGAAAGCCUGAUCUCAUGAGGAAAUUGAGGGACUGACUCCUCACUCUUGAGCAGGCUUUGAACAAAACCCUUAUUUGAAGAGGAAGGUAAGUGAGCAACUUCACUGCCUACAUUUCCAAACUCAAUAAGAGUUAACUUCCAAUUUUACAUUUUCCAGGCUCUGGAAAGGCUCACUUUGAUUCUAAUUCAAGGAGCAGUAUCACAUCAAUCUCAAUGUCAUCCCAGGGUUUAUCCAUAGGCCACAGCUUUCUCGAGUAUGGCUUUAGCACAUGGAACAGAAGAGAUGCUGUCCUCAGGGAAGAUGUCCUAACUUCAGCUUUUUAAUGUCCCACUCUUUGAAAUAGGGGUUUAUUUUUGGUCCUCGCUGCCUAAGGGGAUAAAGCCACAUUAGACUUUAAAGCAAGUAUGGGACUCAUUCAGGCAGAACUAAGGUUUCGAUUCACCCUUGGUCCCUCCUAGGUGACCACAGAUGUGAUUACUUCCACCCAAAAUGACUCUCACAAGUCUUCAAGGACUAAUACAGAGAGAGCCUUGCUCUAUAAAUGGAACCUCUGUGUCCCAACCAGCCUUUCCCACCUAGUGAAAGAGAAGAAUCAUGCAGAGGACUCUGCUCCACACCCUGCCCCGUGGUCAGUGUGGACUAGAGGAGGCUGGUGAGCACAGCUGUGGGUCCUUGGCAUUGCUCGUCAAUACCGGGAAGUGGCCAUCCGGGAUUUGGUUUACAGUGUCGGGCCUCGUGACCUCAAAGCCACCCAAGAAGUAUUUGUGCCUGGGGGAAAUCUCCCUAGCCUCUUAGGGAGGUCAUCCACUUUCUGUUCUCUCACUUUUUAACUCUAAUGUGUUUGAUCCUUCUGCCAGUGAUUAGCUUCUCUGUGUCUGGGAAAUUCUAAAAUCCAAGAGACCUAUGAGGAAAGAAGAUCAAGAAGGUGACAAGCCUAAGAAGGUGAAGGGAAGAUAUGAAGCUCAGUACUGCAGAAAGUCUUAGGAUCCAGGUGCUAAGGAGAGAGAAGGGCUGGAGGAAAAGAGAACAGCUGCCAAUAUUACUAUGUAUCAGUCAUUUCACAAGAAAUGCAUGGAGGUGCUCAUGAUUUAACUCACGGCAAAGUAAUUAAAGAAUUAGGUUACUAUCUUCAUCGACUGUCAGAAGAGGACAAGCACUCUUCAGUCUCCAGAGGUCUUUGGGAAAGACUGAGAUAACACUUGCAUGGAAUCCAAUGAAAUUAAAGACAAGGUGACAUUUUAUAAUAUAUUUAAACUUGUGGAAUCACAGAUCAUCCUAGAAGUUAAAUCUGCUUAGGUUUUUUUUUUUUUUUCAUUGUUCUUCUCCCUAGAAAAGAAAAUGUAAUAGAAAUUGUAUGUUGGAAGCUCAGGUCUCUCUCCUUAACUCAAUUGCUAGUACAUUUCUAAUUGAGCAAAAUGACAUGAAAUGGUAUGCGUAUUCACCUCCCCUCCCCACACUAGUGAACCUAGCUCUCAUAUCCAUGCUGCACGAGGCCCAUGGGGCGGAGGCUGGCAGUCUUGGAGGGGCUUCAGGACGAUGUUUUCUGCUGGCUGAGGCCGGGGCUCUGGAAGGAGAGUCCACCUGAACCCUGUGGCUGCGCUUCUUGUGCAGAGAGCAGCUGGCUGUGCCCUGCUGUGGCUUCGCUGCUGGCACAGAGGUACAGGGAGGACUGGCUGGUGCUGGGGGACUCCAGGGUCAGGGGGAAAUGCUCCUUCUGAUCCCUGGAGACACUGGUUCCUUGGGAGGCUUCUCCUUCAGCUGUGCUGCCAACACUGCCUGAGUAGUGCAGCAGCCUCAGCCCCUGUCCUGGGUCUUGUCGGUACCAGAACAUUGAAUAAUGGUUCAGGUUCUGAGAACACUCCAGGGUUGUCUUUUUUCCCGUGUUUAAGAUAAGGUGUCGGGGCCUCUGAGUGAUCCCAGCGUCCACGAGGCCUGUGGAGAGGGAGCCAUAGGCAAAGUCAAGACUGAAAAAGUGUCUGUAUCUGCAGAGCAAAGGGAAGUUGGGAGCCUGGACUUAAAGUCAUGACAGGGUUUUUCAGCAGCUGCAGAACUCACCUGUUCCCAGGAGACAAAGUGUCACACAGAAGAGUCCAGGGUUCAUGCAGGUCCCCAUGGAAAGGAGCUCUCCCAGCUGAUGCUGUGACCACAGGAUGACAGCUGGGGCUCUGAGGCUGCUCUCCAGGCACCUGAGAGGUGGGGCCCUCAUGCCACUCCUCCACACCCUGUGGGCUCUCUCUGGCCCAGGGGCCUCCCCACUGGCUCAGGCAAG